AGUUUCUAGGUGUUGGUGACUCCAGCUGAAAACCAAGAACUAAAUAUCGCUUGCAGUCUACAGCCAAAAACAAGUUUCUUUUCCCAGAGCCUGAAUUUCAGUAAGUUGCCAUCGGUUGCCAAUGAUAAAACUGUCAGAAUGUGGACAAAUGCACACUCUAUCAUAAGAGAAUAUUUCAGUCCCAUAUUCCUGAGCCUGUCAGCUGAGUAAAGGAGGGGGACUGGGAUGGAGAACUCCUCCCCCUCCAUCUAUAAGUGGCACACCACUGGCCUCCUGGUGUUAUUAAAGGAAAAUUGGAAAAGUUUCCAGAAGAUUAAGCAGAAAGCUUACAACUUGCACAAGACUCUCAAUUUUCC